GAACCCUAAUACAUCAGAGCACUUUAUAUGUUUCACUUGCCUCCUUUUACAACGUGACUUUCAGGGGGAAAUAAGGAUGCAGUUCCUAGUGCCCGUGCCAACUCCAUUUCUUAUUGUAAAUUUAUAUCCUGCCAUUCGUGUCUAUAUAUUAGUCUCUUGUGAAAUUGACUCACAUGUUUACACGCACACACACUCACACUCACACAUAUUCCAUACAUACACUAAUUAGACAUCUUUUCUAUAGCCUUAUCAGUACUCACAAGCUUAAGACAGAUGACUUUCUCCCUAGUAAAUUUCUCCAUGGGUCCUGGGUGGUCAAAUAGUGAAAGAUGCUGGGCAGGAUAACUUUCCAACUAUAGCUCCUUAACUGACUCCAGUACCCAAAGCCUGAAGAGAUGCUUAGUGUCCACCCUUGUUCUCCAGGAGGCCAACGAGCCUGGCAAGACAUCCAGGACCAACUAUGUAAUUUGCAGAGCCCAGUGCAACAUGAAAAGAUGUUCCUCCAGCACUCUCUGUUUUGGGUUUAAUGGUAAAGCAAACAUGGCAUUUAUU
rnacentral:lncRNA from 10 species